rnacentral:rRNA from 1 species
UCGUGAACAUGGCGUACUGCUCAGUAACACGUGGAUAACCUGCCCUUGGGUCCGGCAUAACCCCGGGAAACUGGGGAUAAUUCCGGAUAACGCACAUAUGCUGGAAUGCUUUAUGCGUAAAAUGGAUUCGUCUGCCCAAGGAUGGGUCUGCGGCCUAUCAGGUAGUAGUGGGUGUAAUGUACCUACUAGCCUACAACGGGUACGGGUUGUGAGAGCAAGAGCCCGGAGAUGGAUUCUGAGACAUGAAUCCAGGCCCUACGGGGCGCAGCAGGCGCGAAAACUUUACAAUGCGGGAAACCGUGAUAAGGGGACACCGAGUGCUAGCAUCAUAUGCUGGCUGUCCAGGUGUGUAAAAUACACCUGUUAGCAAGGGCCGGGCAAGACCGGUGCCAGCCGCCGCGGUAACACCGGCGGCCCGAGUGGUGAUCGUGAUUAUUGGGUCUAAAGGGUCCGUAGCCGGUUUGGUCAGUCCUCCGGGAAAUCUGAUAGCUCAACUGUUAGGCUUUCGGGGGAUACUGCCAGGCUUGGAACCGGGAGAGGUAAGAGGUACUACAGGGGUAGGAGUGAAAUCUUGUAAUCCCUGUGGGACCACCUGUGGCGAAGGCGUCUUACCAGAACGGGUUCGACGGUGAGGGACGAAAGCUGGGGGCACGAACCGGAUUAGAUACCCGGGUAGUCCCAGCCGUAAACGAUGCUCGCUAGGUGUCAGGCAUGGCGCGACCGUGUCUGGUGCCGCAGGGAAGCCGUGAA